rnacentral:rRNA from 1 species
AUGAGGACCAGUUGCAGAGUCAAGCUAUCCCAAAGCGCAAGUGGAAACGGAAGGUAUAUCCGUUGUCCGCAGUGCGUAGGAGUGCUAGGAUGCGUUCGGCAAAAAAAAAUUUUGGAGACGGGAAGAGACUUGGCUAAAAGAAGGUUUCUUGUUGAGGCGUCUGUCGAGCAUCGCUUAGAUUUUAUCGCUCUUUUGGAGACGGGGAGAGAUAAUUUUGCGCCACAGUUUCUAAAUUCUUUGUCGGGAGGUAUUGAAUUUGAUUGGCAUUGCUUGCCGCCGAGAGGGCGAUCGGGUGGAAUCCUCCUCGGCGUUAGGUGCGAGACGCUUGAGGUUCGCAGUGUGGUUAUGGGAGACUUUGCAGUCAAGUUCAGGGUGCGGUCCAAGGAAGAUGGGUUUAAUUGGGCUCUGGUUGCGGUUUAUGGUGCUGCGCAGCCCGAGCUCAAGCCCGAUUUCUUGGCUGAUCUAGUUCGGAUGUGUGGUUCCGAGCAGCUGCCGUACCUGGUGGGGGGUGAUUUCAAUAUUAUUAGAAGGCGUGAGGAUAAGAACAAUGAUAACUUCGACGGCAGAUGGUCGUUCAUGUUCAAUACUAUCAUUGAGAGUUUGAACCUGAGAGAAAUUGAGCUCUCGGGCAGAAAAUUCACCUGGGCUAAAGCGCUGCCAAAUCCGACGUAUGAGAAGUUGGACCGUGUGUUGGCUAGUGUCGAUUGGGAACAGAAGUUUCCUCUAGUAACGGUCCAGGCCUUAUCCCGUGGUAUCUAG